GGAGGCCAGUAUGAACCCUGUGGUGUUGGACUGGAACUGGAGGUAUCAGUAUGAAUUUAUGGGUUUUAAUGUACAUAAGUAUGUAUGUAUACAAAUAGAUAUAAAAAUUGAUCAAUAUGUGUGUACGUGUCUAUAAAUGAGUAUGUUUCCUAGCUUUGUCUGCUGAGAGGGCCUAGAAGCAAGGAAAUCCCAGUACAAAAGAGCACACCUACCAUCCAGAAGUUGUUUCUGUCUACCAUCUCUGAUCAAAGGAACCAGGACUCUUGGGAGAAAAGACUGAUUCCAUUUGGGUUGGAGUUGGGAAAUACAAGACAAGAAUAAACAUUACGCCACCAAUGUUUACUGUAUGGUCAGUCAUCAAGAAACGCAGGAAGUGACAUGCCAUCCAAGCGCCAUGACAGAUGUAGUCCUUACCCAUUGGUUCAUCACUGGAACUCUUAAGGCAAACGCUGAGUGGGGUAACAGCAAGAGUAACUUCUUCUUGACUUGAUGUAAAAAGAACAACUGCCUCAGCAAGCACUCUACAAAAUGUAAUGAAAAGUACUAUGUUACUUGAAAAACAAGAAGAAAGAAUCUUAUUAAAUGGGACUCAAACCUUUAAUCUGGAAAUAAACAGUGGCCACGUUGUGAGGACAAUCAGAUAAUCCACAGAGAGGCCUGUGUGGUGAGGAACUGAGACCUACCAGCAACCAGACUAGUGAGAUUGGAAGUCGAUCACCUGAGGCCUCCCCACAGCCAUGUCUGUGAGUUUGGGAGUGAAUCCCCCCCCGCCCAAGUCCAGCCUUCAGAUGAGACCACAGCCCUGGCUGACAGCUUGACUCCAACUUCAUGAGACACCUUGAGCCAGAUGCACCCAGUUAAGCCACACUUAUAACUAUGAAGUAAUCAAUAUCUGGUUUCUUAAAGCUCUGAGUUUGGAGGAAAUUUUUUCCACAGAAAUAGGCAACUCAUAUACUUUUUUUGUACGGCAAAAAGCUGGAAACAACGUAUUUUUUCACUAAUAGGACAAUGGGUAACUAAAUUAUGGUUCAGUCAUACAGUGAAAAAUUAUGUAAUCAUUAAAAACAGUAAGAUUGAUUUCAGUGAACUGACACAGAAACUUAAAAAAUCAAGUUGCCAAAUAGUAACAGUAGGACAUUUUCUUUGAAAAAAUUAGUUAUAAGUAUGUGUCUAAUAAGUAAUAUAAAUUUGAGAGGGGGGAAGAAGGAAGGGAAAGAAAGAUAUCCAUAGCUAUAAGGAGAGGGUGAGUUACAGAGAGAUUGGCUAUAGAAAGAAGAAGAUCUACAAGGAUAUACCCCAAAUUGUUGACUGAUGUUACCUCUGCCAAGUGGGGUGAGGAGACAGGUAGAGGAGAAAAACUUUUAAUUUUUUUAUCUUUGCACUCCUCUAUAAAUUCUAGAUGUAUUACAAGGAGCAUGUAUUGCUUGUUUAAUUUAAAGGACAACAAGGAUAAAAUAUCCUUUGGCUCACAAAGUAAUUAAUGUUUAAUGUUUAAUGCUACAGCUUAACUAAAAAAUUGGGUGCAGUUUUCUGACAAAUGCACUUUUCUGACAAAUGCACAUUCUCUAAAGAAAAAAUGCAAACACUUGGGAUAAAAUCAGUUUACAUAAAAACAUUAACGUUUCCUUGUGUUGUGUGUUUUAAGACUCAGAAGGCAAUAUAUAAAUGCAAAGUAUAAUUAGGGAAUAU